rnacentral:rRNA from 1 species
UGCGUAGGCGGUUUGAUUAGUCAGAGGUGAAAGUUUGCAGCUUAACUGUAAAAUUGCCUUUGAUACUGUCAGACUUGAAACAGGUUGAGGUUGGCGGAAUGUGGCAUGUAGCGGUGAAAUGCAUAGAUAUGCCAUAGAACACCAAUUGCGAAGGCAGCCAGCUGGGCCUUGUUUGACGCUGAGGCACGAAAGCGUGGGGAGCGAACAGGAUUAGAUACCCUGGUAGUCC